UUGAAACACUGGUUUCCACAUGAUUCCCAAAGUUAAGCAACAUUAAGCUAGGUCAGUACCUAAAUGGGUGACUGCUUGGGAAUAUCAGGUGCUGUAAG